GGACGUAGGGGGCGAGCGUUGUCCGGAAUCACUGGGCGUAAAGGGCGCGUAGGCGGCCUGGCAAGUCGGAUGUGAAAGGUCCCGGCUCAACCGGGGAGGUGCGUUCGAAACUGCCGGGCUUGAGGGCAGGGGAGGGCAGCGGAAUUCCCGGUGGAGCGGUGAAAUGCGUAGAGAUCGGGAGGAACACCAGUGGCGAAGGCGGCUGCCUGGCCUGGCCCUGACGCUGAGGCGCGACAGCGUGGGGAGCGAACGGGAUUAGAUACCCCGGUAGUCCACGCCGUAAACGAUGGGUGCUAGGUGUGGGAGGUAUCGACCCCUUCCGUGCCGGAGCUAACGCACUAAGCACCCCGCCUGGGGAGUACGGCCGCAAGGCUGAA
rnacentral:rRNA from 1 species